ensembl:lncRNA
GGGCAACUCAGUAAAAAAUGGGAUGAGAUAAGCCAGGAUCAUUGGAUACUCAAGACAUCAACUCAUGCUUUAAGUUGCAAGUUAAAUUUGCCAAUAUAGAAUAUACACCCCUUGUAGAUGGCAAUACAAAAAAAAGUUUGGAUUUCAUUUCCCAGGGCUGCGAAAUUUAAAAAAUGUGCGAAGCGCGUGUGCUAGUAAGCAACACCCCCUCAAGUGCAUGACGCAGCCUGGGAUUUUUGCUGACUGGACAACAUCUGGUGAAGACAGUUUUACAAACAAAUAGCGAUUAUUCCUGAAUUCCUGAAGUCCUGGAAUAAAACUGCUUGAAGAUGCACUGGUGACUGAAAAAUCUGCCAAGAAAAAUUCCGCUCUAGAUUUCACUAUGAGGGAGUUAGAGCACUAAAAAGCAGCAUGCUGACAGACCAGGUCUCGGUUUCACAAAGCAUCUCAGAGUAGGAGUACUGAUUUUUGGAUCAGUUUUGCCUUUUAUAUCACAAUCAAUAAUUACAUUGACAAAGGGGAGCUGGUCCUAGAUCACUAUUCCUAAUCUGAAGAUAGGUUGUGAAUAUGGGCCCGGGAAGAAAGCUGUUGCCCAAUAUCUUGCACAGCAGUUUUCACCACAGGACCCUGGCAGCAUU